rnacentral:rRNA from 1 species
UACGGAGGGAGCUAGCGUUGUUCGGAAUUACUGGGCGUAAAGCGCACGUAGGCGGCUUUUCAAGUCAGGGGUGAAAUCCCGGGGCUCAACCUGGGAAGUGCAUUUGAAACUGCGUAGCUUGAGUAUGGAAGAGGGUAGUAGAAUUCCUGGUGUAGUGGUGAAAUACGUAGAUAUCAGGAGGAAUUCCAGUGGCGAAGGCGGCUACCUGGUCCUAUACUGACACUGAGAUACGAAAGCGUGGGGAUCAAACAGGAUUAGAAACCCGGGUAGU